CGUUAAUUUUCCCUUUCACUUAGUUAUGGUGGAUAGCUGAUCUCUGGUACAUACUUGAUUCCUGGUGGAUAGUUGAUCUCUGCUGAAUUAGUGGUUUAUGGUGGAUCAGUGGUCUCUGGUGGAUAUUUGAUCUCAGGUGGAUUUUAUUUCUGGUGGAUGGAUUUUUAUUUUUGGUUGAUAGACUUUAUCCGGUGGAUAUUUGAUCUUUAAACAAUCUUUGAUGGAUAGUUGGUUUCUGGUAGAUAGUGGAUAAUUAAUAGAUAGUAGUGUUUGUCUCUCGGAUGGAAUAGUAUCUGGGGAUAGUUGGUCUCUGGUGGAUAGUUGAUAAUAUUGUUGAAGGCCGUACGUUGACCUAUAGUCGUUAAUAUUUCGUUCUGUUGAUCUGUGUUGGAUAGUUUAUAUCUGGUGGAUCAUUGGUCUCUUGU
rnacentral:lncRNA from 1 species